rnacentral:tRNA from 1 species
GAAUUGAUCGUCGGCGAUGCGGCGGCCCCCGAUGCCUUCACGCGCUCCACAUCCGGGAUCAUGAGCAAGGCUGGCGA